AGCUAUUAUAUCAUAAUAAUGUAUUAAAUUUAGAUUUUAAUUAUGAACAAGUGUUCUAAUAGUUU
rnacentral:tRNA from 1 species